rfam:Pseudomonas cichorii JBC1, complete genome.
CUUCUUCGAUCUGCUGCGGGCAGAUGAAGUGAAUGUGCGUAUCGACGCCGCCAGCGGUCAGGAUCAUGCCUUCACCGGCGAUUACCUCGGUCGCCGCGCCCACGGCGAUGGUCACGUCCGGCUGGAUAUCCGGGUUGCCCGCCUUGCCGAUGGCCGCGAUACGCCCGUCCUUGAUCCCGACGUCCGCCUUGACGAUCCCCCAGUGAUCGAUGAUCAGGGCAUUGGUGAUCAGCGUGUCCACGACCUCGGCGGCCAGCAACUGGCCCUGGCCCAUACCGUCACGGAUG